rnacentral:snRNA from 1 species
AUGUCCACUUUGGCAGCAUUCACACUAAAGCUGGGGCAAUUCAAAGGAGAUUCACAUGGCCCCUGUGCAAGGAUGGCAGGUACAUCUAGAAAGCUGUCCACAUUUUA